rnacentral:lncRNA from 1 species
CCUCCCCAGCAUUAUAAGCGCAGUGCGUUCCCGUAUGGCACUCGUACAGAAAAAAAAAAAAAAAAGAAAUGACGAGCGAGGACGCGGCCCGUCGGCGGCUGUGUUUCCGCAUGGGGUCCCCUCGUUAGGCCGCACUCGUUUUCCUGCCCGGCAGAAGCCAUUAUGCCGCGCGGCGAAAUGCGGGAACAGUGCACGCAUCAUUCCAGCCUCGCCGACUCUCCAGCUUGAGCAUACAUGCACCAGCUAAAUUUUAGGCCUAGAUUAGUCGUGCUGAGCCGAAGUUAUCGCCUUUGGCGAAGUCGACAUGUUAAUCAGACUGGAAUUUAACGAUGGCGUCGGGACGCGAAUACGCUUUUAGACUGAUGUCCACGUAAAAGGACACAUUUUCCAUACUUCUUUCCAUGAACUUGGUUUACACUGCAGACCGGACCAAGAGGGCAGCA